AUCAACUCCCUUUUCUCCAGAGGUUCCUGCACUGUGCGAUCACUGAGAGAAAAUCGGUGGCAGCUUUGCUCUAUGGGUUACUAUUUAGGGUAAUGAUGCUGCUGUUCUGUCCAACCACCCAGAUGCUGCUGCUGACUGCCAAUACCAGACUACAGGACCCAUUCCAGCUUCUUUUCAAACCCCGAAGUGCCAGCAUAUGCUCCCUUGGCUGAAUUUGCAAGGGCCCAGCCAUCUGUGUAUCUACAGAGUGUCUCUGGUAAUCCACCACUACAACCUUCUGUGCAAAAACCAUAUAAAGAUGCUUACAGUGUACCUGUCCCAGAGAUGUGCAGCCAGAUCUUUGGCUGAUGUCACUUGGCAUGCCUUUGCUCAAGUUAAUUGGAGCUGUAUCAAUUCAUAUUUCUGAAGAGAUGGAAUG